UACUGCUUUCUACAUCCCACUGAGAAGACUGUCCAUCAUCCCUAGGGAGGGGGAGGAUUCAAUUCAUUCAUGCAAAAUUGAAGAAGAACGGGGGCAUUCUGUUCUAUAACAUGCUACCAAACACUGCUGAGAAGGGGUGAGGAUGUUAACCCCAGAGUGUUUGAGAAAGUGUGGAUGGAAGACCGUCUAGCAGCCUUAAAGACCUCCUCAUAAAAUGUGUGUGAUCUCUUUGCACACAAUCACCACCAUUCUUUUCACCACCCAUUCCUAUUAUAUAAAGAAGAAGGUAGUGACCUCAGGGAUGGAGACAUAGAUAAUUCCUUGAGCUAUC